UGGGGAAUUUUGGACAAUGGGCGAAAGCCUGAUCCAGCAAUGCCGCGUGUGUGAAGAAGGCCUUCGGGUUGUAAAGCACUUUUGUCCGGAAAGAAAUCCUUGGCUCUAAUACAGUCGGGGGAUGACGGUACCGGAAGAAUAAGCACCGGCUAACUACGUGCCAGCAGCCGCGGUAAUACGUAGGGUGCAAGCGUUAAUCGGAAUUACUGGGCGUAAAGCGUGCGCAGGCGGUUUGCUAAGACCGAUGUGAAAUCCCCGGGCUCAACCUGGGAACUGCAUUGGUGACUGGCAGGCUAGAGUAUGGCAGAGGGGGGUAGAAUUCCACGUGUAGCAGUGAAAUGCGUAGAGAUGUGGAGGAAUACCGAUGGCGAAGGCAGCCCCCUGGGCCAAUACUGACGCUCAUGCACGAAAGCGUGGGGAGCAAACAGGAUUAGAUACCUUGGUAGUCCACGCCCUAAACGAUGUCAACUAGUUGUUGGGGAUUCAUUUCCUUAGUAACGUAGCUAACGCGUGAAGUUGACCGCCUGGGGAGUACGGUCGCAAGAUUAAAACUUAAAGGAAUUGAC
rnacentral:rRNA from 1 species